rnacentral:misc_RNA from 1 species
UACGUAGGGGGCAAGCGUUGUCCGGAAUUAUUGGGCGUAAAGCGCGCGCAGGCGGUCCUUUAAGUCUGAUGUGAAAGCCCACGGCUCAACCGUGGAGGGCCAUUGGAAACUGGGGGACUUGAGUGUAGGAGAGGAAAGUGGAAUUCCACGUGUAGCGGUGAAAUGCGUAGAUAUGUGGAGGAACACCAGUGGCGAAGGCGACUCUUUGGCCUAUAACUGACGCUGAGGCGCGAAAGCGUGGGGAGCAAACAGG